GACGAACGCUGGCGGCGUGCUUAACACAUGCAAGUCGAACGGUGAAGCGCCUUCCUUUUUGGUGGGUGUGGAUGAGUGGCGAACGGGUGAGUAACACGUGAGUAACCUGCCCCCUUCUUCUGGAUAACCGCAUGAAAGUGUGGCUAAUACGGGAUAUUCUGGGUCUGUCGCAUGAUGGGUCUGGGAAAGAUAUUGUUUCGGUGGGGGAUGGGCUCGCGGCCUAUCAGCUUGUUGGUGGGGUGAUGGCCUACCAAGGCGGUGACGGGUAGCCGGCCUGAGAGGGUGGACGGUCACACAGGGACUGAGACACGGCCCAGACUCCUACGGGAGGCAGCAGUGGGGAAUAUUGCACAAUGGGAGCAAGCCUGAUGCAGCGACGCCGCGUGAGGGAUGGAGGCCUUCGGGUUGUGAACCUCUUUCGCCAGUGAAGCAGGCCUGCCUCGUUUGUGGGUGGGUUGACGGUAGCUGGAUAAGAAGCGCCGGCUAACUACGUG
rnacentral:rRNA from 1 species